rnacentral:rRNA from 1 species
GACGGGUGAGUAAUGCUUAGGAAUCUGCCCAGUAGUGGGGGACAACAGUCGGAAACGGCUGCUAAUACCGCAUGCGCCCUACGGGGGAAAGCAGGGGAUCUUCGGACCUUGCGCUAUUGGAUGAGCCUAAGUCGGAUUAGCUAGUUGGUGGGGUAAAGGCCUACCAAGGCGACGAUCCGUAGCUGGUCUGAGAGGAUGAUCAGCCACAUCGGGACUGAGACACGGCCCGAACUCCUACGGGAGGCAGCAGUGGGGAAUAUUGGACAAUGGGGGCAACCCUGAUCCAGCCAUGCCGCGUGUGUGAAGAAGGCUUUCGGGUUGUAAAGCACUUUCAGCGAGGAGGAAGGCCUUAAAGUUAAUACCUUUAAGGAUUGACGUUACUCGCAGAAGAAGCACCGGCUAACUCCGUGCCAGCAGCCGCGGUAAUACGGAGGGUGCAAGCGUUAAUCGGAAUUACUGGGCGUAAAGCGCGCGUAGGUGGUUUGGUAAGCGAGAUGUGAAAGCCCCGGGCUUAACCUGGGAACGGCAUUUCGAACUGUCAGACUAGAGUGUGGUAGAGGGUAGUGGAAUUUCCUGUGUAGCGGU